UCGUCGGCACCUCCUCUCCUCUCUUCUCCUCUUUUCUCCUUCUCCGUUCUCUCUUUCUCGGCUCCCCGUCGCACCAAUGCAAUGCAAUGCAAUGCAUUCCAUUUCCACCUUCAUUCCUUCUCUUAAUGCUUUACCCUAAUAUGCAAAUCAAUAUUCUCUUUUACUAUGCUUCCUCCUCGUGCAUCUGCUCGCCUUCUUGCUCGGCGUCCAACAUGCCUGCUCUCCUUUUCCCAUGGCUGGGAAACACCCAGUGGUUCAUGGCUCUCCGAUCCUUUUGUAACGCUGCCGUUUGCCUGGGUUUUGGGUUCUCACUCAUUCUCAAUCUGAGACCCUUUCGCAGUCAGUGAAGCUGGGUAGCGAAGGUUUUGUUUGUACAAGUGGAAUUUGUGUUGACGCUUAUCGGAAACUCGAUGAGAGUUAUUGCAGCGAGUGAGUGAGUGAGUGAGUUAGUGCGUGAGUGAGUGAGUGAGUGAGUAAGCGAGCGAGGGAAGCCUGUGUUGUGAAUCGUAGUGAGAAUCUCUCUGGCGAUGGCUUCGGAGCCUGUAACCAAGGCGGGUGGAGCUAGCUCUGGAGGAAAUACGGAAAUUCCUCGUAUUAGAUGUCCUGCAUGCUUUAAGCAGUUUUCAACUGAUGAAAAUUUAGUGCGUCAUUUGGAGAAAGCUUGCCAUACAGAGCAUGAGCCUCAGUGUGGUGUGUGUCACAAACACUGCUUCUGCUUUGAAGCUCUUCGUGAACAUCUUCUUGGUCGUUUGGCUAAAAAGGAAUGUGCAGCCGAAUUUUCCAGAAGAGGCUGCAGUUUGUGCCUGGAUGUCCUGGAAAGUGAGGAAGCGCUUACAAAUCAUCGACUUAAAUGUCAGUUCAUGUCUGCCUGCCCAUCUGGAAAGGUGUUAACAACACCUAUGGAGCAGUCAAUAAAAGGGGCCAUAGACGCUCCGGAGGGAUCUGCCGAGGCGGCACAUUUUUCGGAAGAGCGUCAAUAUGGGGCUGUGGCCUUGGAUUGUGAGAUGGUUGGAGGAGGUAGCGAUGGCUCGAUCAACAUAUGCGCACGAGUUUGCUUGGUGGACGAGGAUGAAAAUGUCCUGCUCAACACCUAUGUCCAACCUCUUCUGCCAGUCACGGAUUACAGGUAUGAGAUAACUGGAAUCAAACCUUCAGAUUUUAACGGGGCACCAUCUUUCAAACGAGUGCGCUACAUUGUGAAACGUAUUUUAGAAGAUGGGCCACUCUUGAUAGGACAUGACUUGCGGCAUGAUCUAGCUUGCUUGCGCCUCGAUCACUCACCGGAGCUUAUCAGAUGGAGGGAUCGUAUUGUUGCAUCUGUUUUGGUAUUUCCUGAAUUUGAGACACUGCCACGUAUCAGCUAUUUGUGAAGACAAGCGGUGUUAGUCACAAGCUGCGGUUCCUGACAGAAGUUUUCUUGGGGUACAAGAUCCAGGACGGAACAAUUCAUGACCCUUGUGAAGAUGCCAUAGCUGCCAUGCGGUUGUACAAAAGGAUGCGAUCUCGAAGGCAUGCUGGGGCCUUGGUUCAUGUUUGUGACCUGUCUCAGUUGAGUCUUCAGCAUGUCGAUGCCCCACAGUGGUCAUAUUCAAGUGUGUAUUCCUACAGUGAACCCAGCUUUUACUGCUGGUGUGUGGAUUCUAAAACAUAAUUGGUUGAUGAUCUACCAUAUCAUCAAAUGGUUCGUAAUCCCUUCAGCUUAUCUUCUAUUUUGGUAGUUGGUUUGUUUGUAAGCUAGUGUCAGGAUAAGAUACUCUGGGGUUGCUCAACAACUUAACCCGAACAUUGUGCGUAUAUAUUUGGAUCAAAAGCAUGGGUGAAAUGUACUGUUCAAUAUGCUCGAUUUUUCGUGAAAGAUACUUUUAAGAAUUUCGUCA